AAUUUCAUAGUUAAAAAAUAACAUUAAAUUGCAAAUUUAAAUUUAUAAAUUUAUUUAUUGAAAUUU
rnacentral:tRNA from 1 species